GACGAACGCUGGCGGCGUGCCUAAUACAUGCAAGUCGAGCGGAGGAAAUCGACGGAACCCUUCGGGGGGGAGUCGAUGGAAUGAGCGGCGGACGGGUGAGUAACACGUAAAGAACCUGCCCUCAGGUCUGGGAUAACCACGAGAAAUCGGGGCUAAUACCGGAUGGGUCAUCGGACCGCAUGGUCCGAGGAUGAAAGCGCUUCGGCGUCGCCUGGGGAUGGCUUUGCGGUGCAUUAGCUAGUUGGUGGGGUAAUGGCCCACCAAGGCGACGAUGCAUAGCCGACCUGAGAGGGUGAUCGGCCACACUGGGACUGAGACACGGCCCAGACUCCUACGGGAGGCAGCAGUAGGGAAUCUUCCACAAUGGACGAAAGUCUGAUGGAGCAACGCCGCGUGAACGAUGAAGGCCUUCGGGUCGUAAAGUUCUGUUGUAAGGGAAGAACAAGUGCCGCAGGCAAUGGCGGCACCUUGACGGUACCUUGCGAGAAAGCCACGGCUAACUACGUGCCAGCCGCCGCCGUAACAC
rnacentral:rRNA from 1 species